GUCCCGGAUGGCGCAGUGAUUAACGCGCCUGCCUAGUAAGCAGGAGGCCGUGGGUUCGAAUCCCGGUUCGGCACA